AGAGUUUGAUCAUGGCUCAGAACGAACGCUGGCGGCGUGCUUAACACAUGCAAGUCGAACGGGAUCCAGAGCUUGCUCUGGUGAGAGUGGCGCACGGGUGAGUAACGCGUGGAUAACCUGCCCUGGUAUCCGGAAUAACAUCUCGAAAGGGGUGCUAAUACCGGAUAAGCCUACGGAGCCCUCGGUCUCUGCAGGAAAAGGUGGCCUCUAUUUAUAAGCUACCGUAUCAGGAUGGGUCCGCGUACCAUUAGCUAGUUGGUGGGGUAAUGGCCUACCAAGGCGACGAUGGUUAGCUGGUCUGAGAGGAUGAUCAGCCACACUGGAACUGAGACACGGUCCAGACUCCUACGGGAGGCAGCAGUGGGGAAUUUUGCGCAAUGGGGGAAACCCUGACGCAGCAACGCCGCGUGAGUGAUGAAGGCUUUCGGGUCGUAAAGCUCUGUCAGAGGGGAAGAAAUGAGAUUGGCUAAUAUCCAAUUUUCUUGACGGUACCCUCAAAGGAAGCACCGGCUAACUCCGUGCCAGCCGCCGCGGUAAUUC
rnacentral:rRNA from 1 species